AUGGCAACAUCACAUAUGACCACCACCGUCUUCUCUGCCAUCGUCAUCAUUCUUCUUUCCUCAGCCAUGGCCGCUCAGAGCAGCGGCGAUGUCGGUGGCAAGAAGCCCAAGCCUACUGACUUCAUGCUGGAAGCGUGCAAGAAUGCCUCGAACUGGUCCAAGAGCUACAACGAAGGUUACAACUACGUGACCGCGGAAUUUUGCAUCUCGACCCUCCUCUCCGACAACCGGAGCGCCGACGCCAAGGACCGUCGCGACUUGGCGCUCAUACCCGUCGACAUCCUCAAGGAGCGUGUUGUCACCGCCGGUGGCAACGUCAAGAAGAUGCUGCACAGCACCAAGAACAGCACGUCGACGACAGCACGCCAUCUCAGAACCUGCGAGCUGGACUACACGGCCACCGCGGGCAUCCUCAACUUCUGCGACGCCUUGAUGAGGGACUACCAGGGUGACAGGAGAAGCGAGGACGAAGACAACGACGGGCCCCUAAACUUCGAGCUGCCUGAAUGUGUGGACGAGGCGAACGAGGCCUGGGGCUACUGCGGGCUUGCUCUUCUUCAUAUACCGGGGGCGGAGGCGCUGGUCAAGGAAGGCGAUGAACUACAGAUGCUGAUGAAUCUCAGCAUUGCCUUGCUAUCACCAUACAGACUGGACUGA
rnacentral:rRNA from 1 species